rnacentral:rRNA from 1 species
UACGUAGGGUGCAAGCGUUGUCCGGAAUUACUGGGCGUAAAGAGCUCGUAGGUGGUUUGUCGCGUUGUCCGUGAAAACUCACAGCUCAACUGUGGGCGUGCGGGCGAUACGGGCAGACUGGAGUACUGCAGGGGAGACUGGAAUUCCUGGUGUAGCGGUGGAAUGCGCAGAUAUCAGGAGGAACACCGGUGGCGAAGGCGGGUCUCUGGGCAGUAACUGACGCUGGAGGAGCGAAAGCGUGGGGAGCGAACAGG